rnacentral:rRNA from 1 species
GACGAACGCUGGCGGCGUGCCUAAUACAUGCAAGUCGAGCGGACCGGAUUGGGGCUUGCCUUGAUUCGGUCAGCGGCGGACGGGUGAGUAACACGUGGGCAACCUGCCCGCAAGACCGGGAUAACUCCGGGAAACCGGAGCUAAUACCGGAUAACACCGAAGACCGCAUGGUCUUCGGUUGAAAGGCGGCCUUUGGGCUGUCACUUGCGGAUGGGCCCGCGGCGCAUUAGCUAGUUGGUGAGGUAACGGCGCACCAAGGCGACGAUGCGUAGCCGGCCUGGGAGGGUGACCGGCCACACUGGGACUGAGACACGGCCCAGACUCCUACGGGAGGCAGCAGUAGGGAAUCUUCCGCAAUGGGCGAAAGCCUGACGGAGCGACGCCGCGUGAGCGAAGAAGGCCUUCGGGUCGUAAAGCUCUGUUGUGGGGGACGAAGGAGCGUCGUUCGAAGAGGGCGGCGCGGUGACGGUACCUCACGAGAAAGCCCCGGCUAACUACGUG